rnacentral:rRNA from 3 species
AAAUUGAAGAGUUUGAUCAUGGCUCAGAUUGAACGCUGGCGGCAGGCCUAACACAUGCAAGUCGAACGGUAGCACAGAGAGCUUGCUCUCGGGUGAC